GCCGGAUGCGAGCAGGACAGCUUCAGGAUGAAGCGAGAUAGCCCGGAUGGUUAUCUGUCAGGAUGACGCAAGGAACACCACAGGAUGUGGUAAGGGACACCUCCAGGAUGGAGAGAGUGCAGCAAUCAGGAACGAUUGAUUGCCAGACCAGGAUGGUCACAGGACACCUCAACGGAUUGGGAAGGGGAUAUUCCGAAGGAUCAGGAUAAAGUCAGGGAUCGCAGGGAGCAUUGCAGUUCAUGGACUGGACUAGAUGACUUGAGGGGACGGCAACUGCCGUCCCCUUUUCUUUAUGU
rnacentral:other from 1 species